UCUUAAGUAGCUUAAAAUAAAGCAUUGACUUUGUAACUCAAGGAAGCCAUACGGUGCCUUAAGAU
rnacentral:tRNA from 1 species